UCUAAGAAAUUUUAAACCACACAACUUCUCAAAACUCAUCACUGCCUUAUGUAGUAUGGUUUUCUAGGUAGAUACACAGGAUCUCAGUGGUUCUUUCUGGAUUAGUCUAACUUUACACUACACUAAAGAUGUGCCACACCAUAACACCAGUUUCUUUAAAAGGUUAAUGAGACGUCGUAAUUAUAAAAGGCUUGAAAAUCUUUAUAAGAAGUACAAUUUAAAGACUUUAAGAUUGAUUGGAAGAAGUGGAGAUCCUGUAAUUAGUCUGGGAAGAGAACAAAAAUAAGAAACAUCAUCGACUUCAAAUAUUAAAAGCUCAGUAAAAGAGAAAUGGGUUCGUUUUGACUCAAGGGUAUAACUGGGACGAAAAAGAAUACACAGGGAGGCAAACUUUGGUUUCAUAUUACGAAGACUUUACAUUAGAAUUUUUCAAUACCAAAAUAGGCUAUUGCAUGAAUUGGGAAAAUUUCUUCAAUGGGAUGUGUUAUAGAAUCUCUUUGAAUAUCUGUAUAGAUGCUAAUAGUAGGAUUGGUAAAUUAAUUAGAAGUUUGUGCUGGAAUCUGAUCUCUACAAGUCUUUUAAUUUUAAGACUUCCAAUGUAAUAUAAGCAAUGGUGCGAGAUUGCAUUAGAAAAAUUAACAACAAUUAUAGGAGUACCUAGAUUCUUCACAACUCCUUAACCUUGCCUGGAACCAGUGUUUACAAGGGUUGUGGGGAAAUGGAAUGGUGCAGGAGGAGACAUAAGAAGUUAUAACAGCAAACAGUGAUGACAAUACAUGUGGAAUUUGAAUUGAAUAAACAGACUAACUGUGAUCAUAAAUAUACAUAAACCUGCAUAUUCAAAUUCUACCCAUUUUCCAAGGUCUAAUUCAAGGAUCAUUCCUUAAAGGAAUAUCUCUUUAACUUUCAGGAGCUAAUUGGUGCAAACAUUGUCUCAAGCAAUGCAAUUCAAGCUGAUUGUUUAAAUACUUGUAAUCUCAUCUGCCACUGAAAACCUGAAGGCUAAUGAUUUAAAAUAUUAAAGUUCUUUAAAAAUAUUAUUUUAAAAGCUCUGUAGCUAAUUUCUCUAAUCAUCAGAUUGCUUUACCUCAUUUUUACAUUUCUUUCCCUCAAUAAUCUCGGUUCUUAGAUCCUUGAUGAUAGUGAUUCCACUAAAUCUUAUUUCUCUAAAUACUCAUCCUUGUUGUUUGGGUCUAAUUAAGUUUCCAGGUUGCUUAGGAAACUGAACCUAGGCAGCAGCUGCCAGGGCUUUACAAUGAAGUCCCACUCCAAUUCAGCUUCUUUGUCAGAGGUUAAAUGGACAAUAUAUUUUAUUUCAGAAGAAAUAUUUUUAAGGUAGUAUAUUUAUUUGAAAUGUAAAAAUAUAUUUUGAAAUGUAAUGGUCCAAGAAAUCCUUUUUUCUGAUGGUUGCUGAAGAAAAAGAGGGCUGUGUUACUGUUAGAACUACAUAUUCCAGGCGGUAACAAGCCAUUGUAUCAGAUGCAGGCAGUGUUGGGGACCUGGCUGGGAGUGAGAUGGGAACUGAAUUUGCAGGAGUGCCAGCAUCUCUAGACAGCAAAUGAAAACCACCUGCCAGAGCAAUGAUGCCCAGGAGCCUUCCUCAGGCCAGGCAGGCAGAGUCAAUUGUUCUUGGAAAAUGAAGGAAAGAAAGACUUCUGUGUCACAGAAAUUAAAAUGGUUCAAGAGAGGAACAACAUAAGGAUAAUGGCCUUAGCAGAGUUAUCAAGCUUUCUUGGGUUUUUUUGCAUGUUUUAUCAUUAUAAUUCAGAAUGAUUUAUUAAAGAGCAAGUUAUUAGUAUCAACUGCCUAGGCAUAAUAUCAAAAAAGUAUAUCAUUUAUUAUCAACUAUCUUAACAUUAUUAACUGUUAUUUGUGCCAUUUGUGAAUGCAUAGCUUAAUUUAGUCAUUAAACACACAUUGACUGAAUGCCAGGUAUGUGACAUGAAGUGUCAGGUGUGAGUGACACAGAGAAAGUAGUGGAGACAAUGCUAGUAAGAAGAGGAAAGAGCAAAUGAUGCAGGAUCUUGCAGGGCAUGUUAAAGGUAUUUUCUUCAUCAAGAGGCUAACAGAGAAUUAUAUAAGUAUUUUACAGUAGAAAGAAUUUGGUUCAUUUGACAAAGAAUUCAUAUUUUUUAUGGAACCUGGAUUAGAAGUGGGAUAGCUGGAAGUAGAGACUUACGAGGAGCUGUUACUGAAAUCCAGUGGUGAGAUGCUGGUGGCUUAAGCUACAGUAGCAGCAAUGGAGAUGCAGAGAAGUAAACAAAUUUGAGAUCGAAUUUGAAAGAAAAUUUAACACAAUUAGCUUUUGGGUAUGGGCAGUGAGUGAGAGAAGCUAAGGUAUAAGCUGAGGUUUCUGACAUAGGCAGGUGGUGUGGUAUUAAGAUAAUCCUUUGAGGUAGAAAAACAUCAGAAACAAAGCAGACCAUGGAAAAAGAUUUACUGAGUAGCAGCCCUGGGUCAUGUCUUUCUAGGCAUGAGACAUAGUGAAAAGCAAGCAGGACAAAUAUUUUGAUGUAAGUAACUCACAUUCAGGUUGAGAAAGCAAAAGGAAACAAACUCCCAAAUAUGUAAAUAUGCCAAUCUUACAGUGGUGAGAUAUUGGCAUCAUAGUGGGAAGUGCUAAGAAGGCUAACAAGAAAGGAAAGAACAAGAUAUGAUAGAGAACAUAACAAACAGACGAUCAAGGAAGAUUUCUCUAAGAAGUUGUUCUAUGGGACAUUCAGCAUUGAUGAGUAGGAAGUUGCCUUGUAAAGAUCUGGGAACACAGCAUCCCAGGUAGAAGAACCAGCAAGUGCAGAAACUUUAAGGUGGCAUUGAACUAAGAGCUGUAUGAUUAAAGGUAGUGAGCAGGUGUGUGAAGGGAGUGGUAGGUCAUGAUACCACACAAUUAAUCAGGGACCCCAACACGUAGAAACUUGUAGGUUCUGGUAAAGAGUUUUAAUAUUUUUCUUACAGAUGAGAAGAUAAUGAAAGAUUUUCGGUAGGCAAUAACAGGGUGGGACUUUUAAUUGACUUCUGUGUAGAAAAUAGUUUGAUUUUAAAGGCAUAAGAAAGCAGGAUGCCAAGUAAAGAUGUAAUUAUAGAUGCAAGUAGAUUGGUAAAUAUGAUGGUGAUUAGAUGAGGCUGUUUUGUUCUUAUUCCUAUUAUUUUCUCAAAGGACUAUGAGGAAAAGUAUUGAUUGAAGAUAAGAGGUGAGAAAGAAUUUUUGGAGAUUUGUGAAAAGAGGACAGGAGCAAUAUUUUGUUACUUGAGUGCAAGUGAAAAGUAAAUAUAUAGUUGGAUUUACCCAGAUUUGGAAUUUUGUUGACAGUAUUAGGGAGUUGAAGAUAAAGAAAUCAAUAACGUUUGCAAGAACAUGAUUAUAAUAUUGUAUCAUAGAAUGUGCAUGAAGGACAGAUGGAUAGUGAAAAAUGGAAAAGGGAUAGGCAGCCUUUAAAUGAGGGGGAAAUUAUUGGACUGGUGUUAUUAGAGAAAAAUACAAAGAGAGGAGGUAUGAGAGAGAAAGAGACAGAGAGAGGGUGAGAGACCAAAAGACUUGAAAUUGAGAUUUCAGAGAAAGUACAAUUGGCCAUGACAUAGAAUUGGGUAAGUGAGAUGGGUGAAGAACUUGGUCAAUAGAAACGAGAUUAAAAAAAAAAAGAAGCCAGGAUAUUGGUGGAUAUUCAAUUAAGUUGGCAUUACCAAGCAUUGUGAUGGGAGCAGGAGUAGAGAAUAAAGUGUGUCAGAUGCUAAAGUCAUCAGUCAACAAAAGAGGAGUCACCAGGAUCACAGGCAAAGAUGGGGGGAUAUAACUUGAUUACAUGAGCUUCAAAUUAUCUUGGGUAUUUGCAGGAGGAAUGGGGAAGAGUCAUCUUGCCAGAGCAUGUGGCUUUAUAAUCAUUCCUUAUAUGCAGUGUUUUUAGGAAAGGACUAAAGUCUAUAAGAUAGCCAAGAACAUUUUCAGUAUGCAUCUAGAAGUCAAGGAAGUGAGAUGAGUAAGAAAUAAAAGAUUUGGUUAGUUGAUGGCAGUGGUAUACAAGAGAGUGUUGAGCUCAACAAAUAAGAGUUUUGAAGAGCAUCACCCUUUAAAGGAGGCGGAAAAGAAGGAAUAAUAAAAGAGAACAAGAAACAUCUAGAAAGACAGAAGUGGUACCAUAAGUAGUGCUAUAGGAUCCAGGGAAAGAUAACACUUCAAGAGGGCGGUAGUCAUUGGCAGUGUCAAAGGCUGGGAAGUGUCAAUUCAGAUAAGAAUGGAAGAGUGUCUUUUUGAUAUAGAAAUGUGAGAUCAUUGAUGAAUUUGUGAAACGUAACAUCAGUGGAGUGAUGAAGGCAGAAGUCAGAUUGCUUAGAUUGAAAAGUGAAUUGAAGAAAGAGAUGUAGUCAAUAAGUGUAAAUUAUUCUAAAGAAAGUCUUAUACGAAGUUUGUGAAGGGAAGGACAAAGAUAGCUAAAGAGAGUAGUG
rnacentral:lncRNA from 1 species